CCUACGGGAGGCAGCAGUGAGGAAUAUUGGUCAAUGGCCGGAAGGCUGAACCAGCCAAGCCGCGUGAAGGACGAAGGUGCCAAGCAUUGUAAACUUCUUUUGUCAAGGGACAAAAUCAGGCUCGAGAGCCUGACCGAGGGUACUUGAAGAAAAAGCAUCGGCUAACUUCGCUCCAGCAGCCGCGGUAGUACGGAGGAUGCGACGGUUAUCCGGUGUUGUUUGGUUUAAAGGGGGCGUAGGCGGACUGUUAAGUCAGCGGUAAAAGCCCGGGGCUCAACCCGGGCGAGCCGUUGAAACUGGCUGUCUUGAGAUGUCGAGAGGUAUGCGGAAUGCGCAGUGUAGCGGUGAAAUGCUUAGAUAUUGCGCAGAACUCCGAUUGCGAAGGCAGCAUACCGGCGGCGAUCUGACGCUGAGGCACGAAAGCGUGGGUAUCGAACAGGAUUAGAUACCCGGGUAGUC
rnacentral:rRNA from 1 species